UGCGAGUCUGGCAGUGCCGCCCAAAGGAAUGUGACCUCAGGGGGUGGAGAUCUAGCCCAAAUACCUUGGCAGGGCAGGCUGAAGAGACAUGUUAGCAUCAGCGAAACGCUGAGUGAAAUAGGAAACAUAAAAAUGCUUCUUACGUGGGAUAGAUUUGUCAAACGCAAACCGCAAAUGCCUUCUGGUACACCGAGGCUGAGAUGCAGAUGCCAUUCCCAUGUCUCACAGGGAAGAUUCCAGCCUCAAGGCAGAAAAAAACAGGUCAAGUUAAGGAGUAGGCAGAAGGUGGUCAUUCCAUAAAUUGCUCCAGAUGUCAAGUUCAUUGGAGUGAGGAACAAAGAAGGUCAUGUGAAGUGGCUACAGGCCUCCUGCACAGUAUGAAGCAGGCUAAGAAUCACCUCAAUAAGAGCAUCAACAUUCAUCUGCAAAUGUCCUACAACUGGAAAACCUACAUCUAAUUCAGGCACUGAUAAGAUUCAUCUGGGAUUGUCAUUAUUCAAAGCCCAUUGCAGUUAUGAGCUGCCAUAACCCAUCAGCAGUGAAGCCCAAUGUCAUAUACUAUCCACAGCAGA